GUCUCUGUAGCUUAGUCGGUAGAGCAUCAGUCUCAUGAGCUGAAGGUCGUCAGUUCGAGUCUGGCCGGAGACA
rnacentral:tRNA from 1 species